UAAUGUAUGUUUUCUUUUACCAUAAUUCCUACUCUAGUUUAUAUCUAACUAUUGAUUCUAUUAAUUCUCGUCACAUUUGCAGGGUGUUUGUAAAACAUUCUGUUUUACUCUGCCUGGAUAUUCUACUGAUCGUACGGAUGAUAAAACGUUGUGGAAAACCUUCACUCCGAGUUGCAAACAUCGACUAUUGCACUCUAGCGGAAAAGUUCCAAUGUUGAAAUAAACUGUCAAAGAUGUAAACAGUAUCUGACGUCGAUCGCGUACGAUAGCGGAGCAUAAACGAUGAUCUUUAGAUACGGAAUAAUGAUAAGAAUGAUCAUAUUAAUAUUAACGAUCGUCACGCGAUUCGCAGUACGUCAACGAAUCUUCAAACGCGUUUAACGAUCGAUGGAACGUCGUUACUUACAAGUGUACUUAAGGCUUUAUUUAUGGGAUCCAUUUUGCAUGAGAUUUUAUUUAUACACAAGUGAUAAAAAGUUUAAGAGGACUAUCUUUCCGAUUGAUUAUCGCACUACAUUAUAAAUACACUUACGCUUUAUCAGUCUAGAAACAUCGAAAUUGUUCACAGUGCCAUUGAUUGUUCGAGUUAGUCCUGGACCGUUUCGUGGAGACGAUGCCCACACGGGGGGACUCUUGAAACUAAAUUUUUUCGAAAACUAAGCUCGGAACGAAGCAAAGUUUUCCCAUAUUUUUUUACGAGGAAUAACUCAAUGCCCGCUCGUACAUAACUUUCAAGGACACCUUGUGUAGCUGAUCGACGUUAGAAGGUAGAUUUGCAAUUGGAGUAAAGGAAAAUGGCGACUACCUCGCGCACUUCCUCUGAGCAUAAGGAGGCUCUAACAACAUGUAAGAGAUCACAGGUACGUACCGUCGCCUGUGCCCCCGUUUCGGUACUCCCUCCAUAACAUGAUCACGGCCUUGAUAGCGUGCGUGCACGAGUACGUCUUAUUCCAGUGUUAACGUUUUUUUCGCGACUGGUCAGGCUUUUAAAAUCGUGCCGUCGACAAGCAGCAUUUCAUAACAACAUAAAAUUACGUCUCCAAUACAUUUACGGUAUAUUUGUUAUUGAAGAUCGAGACAUCAACAUACGCGUGUAUCUACAGUUACGCGAACGCGUUAUGUAUUUUCUAACAAGUUUUCGUAAACAGAGAAAUAAAACGAGCAACGAUUAAAACGAACAGUCGUUCGACUGUUUAUUUUGCUUUUUUUUUUUUUUUUUAAUCAAAAUACCGUCGUACAAAGAGAUUUCUCUUGCGCCCUUUGCGCCUUUCGAACAUCGUCACGCGGUUCGACGAUCGAAAGAAAGCCGCGGAGCUCUCUAUCUUGGCCGUGACUUCCUGUAUCGGAAAAACAUUUCGAGAACCGGACAGGAAAAUUCUAUACGUGUCCGCUACGUAUGUGUAUAUAAUACACGUUAUAUAGUCUACGUUAAAACGACUUUGGAAGGAUAGCGAAGGAAAGCCGACGAGCAACAGGUUGGCACGAUCGUGCGCGCCUGGGUGGGGAAACUGGAGAACGAGAAGAGCUAUGUAUAGACAGAGAGGCAGCAAACGUGCGACCAAGUGGGAAAGCGAUCGUCGUUGGAUUUGGUAGGAAUAUCCGUGAAGCGAAAUGCUUAGGCGCUACGUAAAACCGACGGUGUCGUGACAGGCAGACCUGAUUGGUCGGUCACCUGUUGCCUGCCAACCGUGAUUGGUCGGCCUCGACGCCGCGUAGCGAUCGCCAGACGAGGACAAGUGCAUCCUCGCUGGUCUACGAUGGAACAAGAUCGAGAAUGGACAUUAUAAGGAUGUCGAUUUCAUGUACCCGACGCGUAUGUGUACGUACACGUUUUUGGGCACUCCGUAUAUACGUGCACACGUAUUUACGUGUGUGUGAAUGAACGUAUGCUACAUUAUUUGUCCUUCCUCGUCAUCGUGUCAGCCGCGCGGCGAUUACGAAAUAUAUGUUUACCGUUUUUAUAGUAUUCGACGAACCGCGUUGUAAAUUACAAGACAUUUAUACGGAUACCGAUUAUUUCUACCGGCUUUGAUUUAUACUUUUAACUGCCUUUCGACUGCCAUCCUUGGCAUUCGUUUUUGCCGCGCCAUGCAUAUUUAUCGGCUCGGGUCUUAGAAUUGCACGCGCUACCCGACUAUGUUGAACGAACGUACUCGCGAGAUAAAAGAUAAAGAUGUACACUGACUGAUUAACGUACGAACCACGAAUCGAACGAUAACGUGACAUGAAACGGAGCAGCUAUGAACGUGAUUUUGGAACAGGUGUAUGGAAACUGGCAGAAGCAACGGAGGAUCGCGCAAGAGCAAAGUCUUGGUCCGAAGAGCAAAGUCUGCAACGACGAUAUAAGGAAAGCCGGUUUACGAUAUCGGACUCUGAACCUUCCGUGGCAUAUUGACCCUGUCCGAGCGAGCAUUGCUAUAAAAUAGACACGGAGUCCUAAGUACCGCGUGCAUGCAUAAUUGGCAGCGUUUUACCGUGGUAUUUCAACGCUCUUUCCUGCCGCGAAACAAAAAACAAGAAUGAUCGACGAUGAAUAUUUAAACGCGAUCGGGCAGAUUUUAUUUGAGAAUCGAAACGCCAUUAACAUUGAACACUACCAAGGUGGGCAGAAUCACUUGUUCCGCCAUUCGUUGCAACGACUAACCAUUUUCAAUGCAUAGCUUUUAGCUCGAAGCAAAUGCUUAUAAGGAAACACAACUGUUGAGGAUCUAUCGUUAUGAAAGAUUGAACUCAACCGCUUACAUGCAGAAGAAAAAAAUGGUUUAUUGAAAAGUAUAAUAAUGGAUAUUACAAGACACGGAGGCGAAAAACUAAGUAAAAGACUUUCUCCGCGGUCAGGGUUGUCGCACAACUAACUCCAAACGGAGAAAAAGCCCGGCUUUAUAGGCGUCGCCAAAUGAUCGGCAGACCUAUGGGUUUUAUGACCCGACCUGGGUCGACGUCGAGCAGAGAAAAAUCGCAAUGCUAGACAUUGAAAAUAUAUCUAUUCUCAACAACAACCGAGCAUCCAAACUGCGAUAAAGCUCGUUUAGCUUGCGAGCAGUGGGCCAACAUCUCGUCUACCAAUAGUACGCAAUCGGUUUCAGCAUAUCUGACAACCAAUUCGGCUGACGAUGCAAGGUCGACUGUACACACCGAAACGAACGAUGUUGCGUCAAGUUUCGCUAGCGUUUUAACUCUCGAAGAGUCAACAAACAAUUAGUAAAGAUCCUUGAGACUUUCACGACUCGCGUUAGUAGAUGGGAUGAACUCGUGUCUCGUUUUAACCACGGAACGUUCGAUCUUCUGGAAUCGUCUGAAAACGUUUCGGUGUAAUGCCGUUCAUACUUCGCGAUGAACGAUCCGUUUCGGAUGCUCUUUCACGAUAGAAGGAAGGGGAACGGAUUCACCGUUGCGGCGGAACUUUCUCUCGAACGAGGAUUAUACCGGUGCCUUUCGUGCACGUAGCCGUACGUAACUUUCAAACCGUCGCAAAUCACGACGAUUCGUCCGGCGGUGGUCCCCGUGUCCAUUGCAUUAAAACCGAGGCGGGGUCGAACCACCGCUUCGAGAAUAGGAUAUCGCGCACGCGUGUCCCCGAUGGGUAAUUUUCGGCGUGCCAGGUGCAAAACGAAGUUUCACUAAUACGAAAAGAAAGAACCGCGAAGGAAGAGCCAGAGCGAUAGAGGAAGGAGCCACGAGAAGUGGAAGGCGAGAGAGAAGACAGGCUGGUCGCUGACCCGUUCGGAACGUUGACUCCAUGUAGUCAGUCCCCUCUUUAUAUUUUCUUCCAUCCCGCUUGCACCAUCUUACCCGUACCUUUGAUUACAGCCACCGGUUACCUUACCUUACUUUACCUUGCGUUACUUUACCACGUCCGCCUUUCUUUACCCGCGACCGCGACCAUUAUACUCUAGACUUAGCAUCUCGAAGACGUCUGUUACUUUCUCGUUCCUCUCUAUCCGCAUUCUCAUCGUUUGUUUUUGUAACCGGGCCACGACGAACAAACAAACGUGAUCUCUUAUCGUUUAACAAAAUUCUUUUCUUUUUUUUUUUUUACGGUAGUCCAACAAUUUGUACUUUCGAUCGAAGCGAAAUAGAGUUUUUGACUCGUGGUCGUAUCGUUCGGUCCUAGAUCCCGCGGAAAUAUGUUAUGUACAACGAUCGGGCAUUCGGGCUACGCAACAAUGUGGGUAACGUUAUUAACGAUCACGAUUCAGUGGAUAGGGAUACACCAACGUCGAGACAGUACCGUUAGGAUUCGCUAUCGUUUCUAAGCCGCGUCGUUUCGGAGAUACGAGACCCAGUCGGUUAACGGUACGCGUUCGUUUUUCACUCGUAUAAUUUUCGACUUCUAAAAGCCGGACGACGGUCGUCUAAUCAUCGUUACCGAAGCUUUUUUUCGCGACGCGGACGACUUCGCGAAAACUUGCACGGUUCGUUCCCACUCCUUACGCAUUUUUUUUCUCCUCCGCUGCCACCACAAUCAUUGGUCACCACCUCCCGAUCCAGCCCUCCACUCCGCAAACUACCCGGCGGGAACUCGGCUCCUCCCGCCGCGUGACUCAAUUAUUUCCAUCAUUACGACCGCCCUCUUGGGCUACGUUCCAAGAUAUUACCAUAUACGUGCAUUAAAGAACCGACCGCAUUGUUUAUCCGUUAACCAAUUAUCGAGAUGAACGAUUGUUAAUCGAACCUUGCUUAUCGCUU